rnacentral:rRNA from 1 species
GACGAACGCUGGCGGCGUGCCUAAUACAUGCAAGUAGGACGCAGUUGCGAGCGGGUGAGUAACGCGUCGGUAAUUCCCUAUUAGAGGGGAAUAACUAUCGGAAACGAUAGCUACUACCGCAUAUUAGUCGAUGGACCUGCGUUGUAUUAGCUAGUAGGUAGGGUAAUGGCAUACCAAGGCAACGAUAAAUAGCCGACCUGAGAGGGUGAUCGGCAACACUGGGAAUGAGACACGGCCCAGACUCCUACGGGAGGCAGCAGUAGGGAAGCUGCGGCAAGGGGGGGAACCCUGACCGAGCAACGCCGCGUGAGUGAAGAAGGUUUUCGGAUUGUAAAGCUCUGUUGUUAAGGAAGCGGUACUUAACCAGAAAGGGACGGCUAACUACGUGCCAGCAGCCGCGGUAAUAC